UUGAGUAUUAAUACACAAUGGUAUUGUUGAAAUUUUAUGUUGCAUUUAUAACAAAUGUUCAAUCGACCCUUCCUCUUACUUCUUGUAGAUAUUUCUCUUCAUAUUUAUAUUCUUCUUCUUUGAAAAGUUAUCCUGCUCUCUUACAUCCUCCGGCCUUUUUUUUCGUCUAUAAGGUUUUGAGGUGUUCUCCGUUUCUCGUCGAUCAUGGAGCAAUGGUCUUUUACAUCAUCUGGCACAUUUUUUUUAUACAAUAUUUUGAGGUUCUCCCGUUUCUCGUUGAUAUUUACAUGGAUCUCCUUGUGGUUUUUCAAUAUUUCGUAUUGUCAUUGAGUAUUAAUGCUCAAAGGUAUUGUUGAAAUUUUAUGUUGCAUUUAACAAAUGUUUCAAGCUCACCUCUCACUUCUUGUAGGUAUUUCUCUCUAACAAUAAUUACCAUCGAUUUCAAGUAACAAUAUCCAUGAUGUUAACAACAAUCAUGAAUAUAUCUUACCUUGGGUUAUUUCUCAAUU